rnacentral:rRNA from 1 species
AACGAACGCUGGCGGCGUGCCUAACACAUGCAAGUCGAACGAGAAUUUUCCCUUCGGGGAAAUAGUAAAGUGGCGCAAGGGUGAGUAACACGUGAAUAAUCUGCCUACGAAUUCGGGAUAACGCGGCGAAAGCUGUGCUAAUACCGAAUAAGACCACGUCUUUGACGGGAUGUGGCCAAAGGAGCCUCAAGCUCCGUUUGUAGAUGAGUUCGCGGACCAUUAGCUUGUUGGCGGGAUAACAGCCACCAAGGCUACGAUGGUUAGCCGGCCUGAGAGGGUGAUCGGCCACACUGGAACUGAGACACGGUCCAGACUCCUACGGGAGGCAGCAGUGGGGAAUAUUGCGCAAUGGGCGAAAGCCUGACGCAGCAACGCCGCGUGAGGGAUG